GGGAACUAUAAGGGGACUGCCGGUGAUAAACCGGAGGAAGGUGAGGACAACGUCAAGUCAUCAGGGCCCUUACGAGUAGGGCUACACACGUGCUACAAUGGGAAGUACAGAGGGACCCCAAAGCGCGAGCUGGAGCUAAUCUCAUAAAACUUUUCGUAGUCCGGAUUGCAGUCUGCAACUCGACUGCAUGAAGUCGGAAUCCCUAGUAAUCCCGGAUCAACACGCCGCGGUGAAUACUUUCUCGGGUCUUGUACACCCCGCCCGU
rnacentral:rRNA from 1 species